AGUCGAACGAUGAAGCCCAGCUUGCUGGGUGGAUUAGUGGCGAACGGGUGAGUAACACGUGAGUAACCUGCCCUUGACUCUGGGAUAAGCGUUGGAAACGACGUCUAAUACCGGAUACGAGCUUCCACCGCAUGGUGAGUUGCUGGAAAGAAUUUUGGUCAAGGAUGGACUCGCGGCCUAUCAGCUUGUUGGUGAGGUAAUGGCUCACCAAGGCGACGACGGGUAGCCGGCCUGAGAGGGUGACCGGCCACACUGGGACUGAGACACGGCCCAGACUCCUACGGGAGGCAGCAGUGGGGAAUAUUGCACAAUGGGCGAAAGCCUGAUGCAGCAACGCCGCGUGAGGGACGACGGCCUUCGGGUUGUAAACCUCUUUUAGCAGGGAAGAAGCGAAAGUGACGGUACCUGCAGAAAAAGCACCGGCUAACUACGUGCCAGCAGCCGCGGUAAUACGUAGGGUGCAAGCGUUGUCCGGAAUUAUUGGGCGUAAAGAGCUCGUAGGCGGUUUGUCGCGUCUGCUGUGAAAUCCCGAGGCUCAACCUCGGGUCUGCAGUGGGUACGGGCAGACUAGAGUGCGGUAGGGGAGAUUGGAAUUCCUGGUGUAGCGGUGGAAUGCGCAGAUAUCAGGAGGAACACCGAUGGCGAAGGCAGAUCUCUGGGCCGCUACUGACGCUGAGGAGCGAAAGGGUGGGGAGCAAACAGGCUUAGAUACCCUGGUAGUCCACCCCGUAAACGUUGGGCGCUAGAUGUGGGGACCAUUCCACGGUUUCCGUGUCGUAGCUAACGCAUUAAGCGCCCCGCCUGGGGAGUACGGCCGCAAGGCUAAAACUCAAAGGAAUUGACGGGGGCCCGCACAAGCGGCGGAGCAUGCGGAUUAAUUCGAUGCAACGCGAAGAACCUUACCAAGGCUUGACAUAUACGAGAACGGGCCAGAAAUGGUCAACUCUUUGGACACUCGUAAACAGGUGGUGCAUGGUUGUCGUCAGCUCGUGUCGUGAGAUGUUGGGUUAAGUCCCGCAACGAGCGCAACCCUCGUUCUAUGUUGCCAGCACGUAAUGGUGGGAACUCAUGGGAUACUGCCGGGGUCAACUCGGAGGAAGGUGGGGACGACGUCAAAUCAUCAUGCCCCUUAUGUCUUGGGCUUCACGCAUGCUACAAUGGCCAGUACAAAGGGCUGCAAUACCGUAAGGUGGAGCGAAUCCCAAAAAGCUGGUCCCAGUUCGGAUUGAGGUCUGCAACUCGACCUCAUGAAGUCGGAGUCGCUAGUAAUCGCAGAUCAGCAACGCUGCGGUGAAUACGUUCCCGGGCCUUGUACACACCGCCCGUCAAGUCAUGAAAGUCGGUAACACCCGAAGCCAGUGGCCUAACCGCAAGGAUGGAGCUUC
rnacentral:rRNA from 1 species